AGAAACUUAGGAUAACCCAAACCCUCCCAAACCGGAGGCCUUCAAAGCCUCAAAUAAGAGUUAAACCCUCUUAGUUUCUG
rnacentral:tRNA from 3 species